GAUGAACGCUAGCGACAGGCUUAACACAUGCAAGUCGAGGGGCAGCACGGGAGUAGCAAUACAACUGGUGGCGACCGGCGCACGGGUGAGUAACGCGUAUGCAACCUACCUAUCAGAGGGGAAUAACCCGGCGAAAGUCGGACUAAUACCGCAUAAAACAGGGGCGCCGCAUGGUGAUAUUUGUUAAAGAAAUUCGCUGAUAGAUGGGCAUGCGUUCCAUUAGGUAGUUGGUGAGGUAACGGCCCACCAAGCCGACGAUGGAUAGGGGAACUGGAAGGCUGGGCCCCCACACUGGUACUUAGACACGGACCAGACACCUACGGGAGGCAGCAGUGAGGAAUAUUGGUCAAUGGGCGGGAGCCUGAACCAGCCAAGUCGCGUGAAGGAAGAAGGAUCUAUGGUUCGUAAACUUCUUUUGCAGGGGAAUAAAGUGCAGGACGUGUCCUGUUUUGUAUGUACCCUGAGAAUAAGGAUCGGCUAACUCCGUGCCAGCCGCCGCCGUAAAAC
rnacentral:rRNA from 1 species